rnacentral:rRNA from 1 species
GAUGAACGCUCGCGGCAGGCCUAAUACAUGCAAGUCGGACGGGAUUCAGGAGCUUGCUUCUGAUGAGAGUGGCGCACGGGUGCGUAACACGUAUGUAACCUACCUUUAUCAGGGGGAUAGCCUCUCGAAAGAGAGAUUAAGCCCGCAUAAAAUCACAGCACAGCAUUGUGUAAUGAUCAAAUAUUUAUAGGAUAAAGAUGGGCAUGCGGAACAUUAGCUAGAUGGCGGGGUAACGGCCCACCAUGGCGACGAUGUUUAGGGGAUCUGAGAGGAUGGCCCCCCACACUGGUACUGAGACACGGACCAGACUCCUACGGGAGGCAGCAGUAAGGAAUAUUGGUCAAUGGGCGGAAGCCUGAACCAGCCAUGCCGCGUGCAGGAAGACGGCCCUACGGGUUGUAAACUGCUUUUAUACGGGAAUAAACCCAGAUACGUGUAUCUGGCUGAAUGAACUGUAAGAAUAAGGAUCGGCUAACCCCGUG